UGGGGUCUCGCAAGGGGCCCUAGUGUAUUCCUGAGUCUGGCCAAACCUUGUAAGCGUACACUGCAACCAGUUAGACGAUCAGCAGUGGGCACAGUGGUUGGAGUCAGCCAGCAAUGGUCGGCUCCUUCUACGAAGCAAUUGUUUGUGUGGGUUAGUAGUAGUGCGGUUGUGCUUCGGUGCUUCUCGUGUGCUGGGCCCAUGCAAGUGAACUACAGCUGAAUACUGACUGGCGAAAUGAAAAUCACCUUUUAGGUGUUAGAGACAAAGCAGCUAGCCAGACGUGGGCCUACACGGUCGACUGUUAGGUCUAAGCUUGGCGCUCUUGAAUUCAGACUUGCUUGCUACCAGUGGGGCAACUCCUGGUGCUUGUAUAGCUUCUGUCUAAUCGGGCGUCGACUUGGCUUGUCAUUGUUCGGUCGUGCUACGAUAGGGUUUGCGUCUGAGUUAGUUUGCAAUGUGAAU
rnacentral:rRNA from 1 species